AUGACUAAGAGACCUCACCUAAACAGGCAGCAGUUUGUGGGAAAGGAGCUGCCAUAAAAAUAACUUCGGAAAAGAAGAUUCAGCUCUUUGGCUUCGGGAACCAGGACCUCCUAAAUUGGCUAAAAACCAUCCAAAACCCUCAUCAUUUCCACGGUUCCCACCAAAGGUGCUCACAGAGAGGUCACCCUCCUUGCCCCUCCCUUGGACGUCGGUCUCGUUGGCUUUGACUGCACCGCCGCUGUCGUUCCUCAGACAGAGCCUACCAGACAAACAUGCUUUGGGAAUGGGUAGGUUAUUAGUUCCUUGUUAAAAGUACUUUAACGCAGACAGAUGGAUGCAAAGCAGCCUGAGAAGACAGUACAAAGGAGAUCUGGACCUCACAGAACCCAGUCACUGGCCACAUGGAUGAGGCAACAGAGCAGGAAUAAUUACGAUGCUGCACAGAGAGAUCAAUCUUUUAGGAUAAAGCACGAUAAAUCUCAGAAUCAUGAUUUCUGCAUGUCUGGUAUAUGUUAUUUUAAGCAUAAAGACUGUGGUGACACCAAAUCUAUCUGGACUGCAGGUAACUUGAAAUUAAAACACGUGGCGUCUGUCUGAAAGAAUUAGUUCAGGAGCUAUGGAAGGUCACAAAACCAGAAAAGAAUGGGAAAUUAAAAGAUCCACAUUUUGUUUACAGCACCCAGGUCUGAGAAUAUAAAAUAUUUACCAAUAA